CUACCCUGCUUUAUGCCCCAGGAGGCUCAUUCUGUUGGGUUUCGUCAGUGGGAUCCCUUGUGCUCUGGUUCCAAUUGUGUUUAGACAAUGGAGCAGGAAGGGAGGCAGAAGCAGUAGAUCAGACAGCGGCCCAGUGAAGCAUAGGUAUCAAGAUGAGCAGAUGGAGAGGUAAUUGCUUCUCUGUCUCAUUGCAGAAAAAAAAAGCAAAAAAGCAGUGAGAAAAAGCAUCUUGAAAUGCGGAAGAAACUAUUAAGUCUGCACAGUGGCUUUGCACAGUACCUUCUGAGAUGGGAAGGGAAAUGGUGAGGCAAGGUAAACAGGAGUUGAUUUUCCUUCUGCUGUAGAACUUUACAUACCAUAAAUCAGAGUUACUAGGAGGACUUGCCAGAGAGGGUGGAGAACUGCACCAUGGUGCAAACCUUGCUUUUUUAUUUACAUGUUGCAAGUGACCAUUAGAGUGUUUCUUCCUCUGUGCUUCCAUUUGUUACAUCAGUUUAAUGAAACUCACCACUUUUUGCUGUGUCCCAUGCUGUUUUAUUUUCCUUCCAAAUGACACAGCUUGAAGAAAUUAUCUGAGCAAAGAAAUUUAGCACUUGUUCAUUAAAAUAUGGCUGAAGCGUACUCCUUCUCAGGACUGCAGAGACAAUGAUUAGAGCACAGUGGUUAAGAGCAUGCGUUCUGUAGACCUGGGUUCAAUUCCUGAGUUCCCCACUGUAACCUCUGCCUCCCGGGUUCAUGCCAUUCUCCUGUUAUCAGGCUGUUACUGAAAAGGGGUCCUGACCCAUACCUCAAGAGAGGGUUCUUGGACCUUGUGCAAGAAAGUAUUUGGGGUGAGUCCAUACAGAAGAGUGAAAGCAAGUUUAUUAGACAAGUAAAGAAACAAAAGAAUGCCUACUCCAUAGGCAGAGUAUGGGUGGCUCAACUGAGUAUACUUAUAGUUAUUUCUUGAUUAUAUGCUAAACAAGGUGUGGCUUAUUCAUGAGUUUUCCAGGAAAGGGGCAAGCAAACCCAGAACUGAGGGUUUCUUCCCCUUUUAGACCAUAUAUGGUAACUUCCGGAUGUUUCCAUGGCAUUUGUAAACUGUCUUGGCACUGGGGAGGGUGUUUUUUAGCAUGCUAACGCAUUAUAGUUAGCAUAUAAUGAUCAGUGAGGAUGAUCAGUGGUCACUUCAUUGCCAUCUUGGUUUUGGUGAGUUUUGGUCAGCUUUUUUACUGCAUCUUCUUUUAUCAGCAAGGUCUUUGUGACCUAUAUCUUGUGCCGGUCUCCUAUCUCAUCCUAUGACUGAGAAUGCCUAACCUCUGGGGAAUGCGGCUCAGUAGGUCUCAGCCUUAUUUUACCCAGCUCCUAUUCAAGAUGAAGUCACUCUGGUUCAAAUGCCUCUGACAGGGCCAUUA
rnacentral:lncRNA from 1 species